rnacentral:lncRNA from 1 species
CCGUUUCUAUAUGUGACUGGAUAAUUAUAUAUAUAUAUUAAAGUUAUUGGAAAAACUGGAGAAGCGCCAUGUUAAAUAGGAGAACUGUAUCAUAUUAAAAUUUUAAAAGUAUUAAUACGUUUUUAAAAUGAACCGAUAAGAAUGUUGCCAAUUAUAUUAAAAUGAAAACCACAUAUGGCCAAGAACACCAAAACUGUACUACGAUGCUAGAAAAUUUAUAAGAGACAUAUGUUGCACAUGAGAGAAUAAAAAUUGAUUAUACCGUGCAUCCAUAAAUUCUAUAACCAUAAUCUAUGUUAUAACCAUAAUCCUUUUAAUUACCUCGGUCCAAUUACCUCCGUGGUCAUUUUAGUAGACAUAAAGUAUACCUUAGUACAUAACAAGUAUAUAAAUUUGAAAAAGUCAAAACACAACCUAUCUUUGGGAUGAAAGAAGUAUACGAUGGAUGAGGUAGUACGCAUGUGCAUCCAGCUGUAAAUAUAAGGGUAUGUUUGGUUUGAGUUGCUUAUUUGGAGUUGCUUAUUUUUAUCUAGGCUGUUUGGAUACCCUUGCUUAUGAGCAUUGAAUGAGAUGGACAUUGUCAUAUUUGCCCCUUUGUUUCUACCCCUCCAAUUUGCCUCCCCACCCUUCUUCUUC